rnacentral:rRNA from 1 species
UACGUAGGGGGCAAGCGUUAUCCGGAUUUACUGGGUGUAAAGGGAGCGUAGACGGCUGUGCAAGUCUGAAGUGAAAGGCAAGGGCUCAACCUUUGGACUGCUUUGGAAACUGUGCAGCUAGAGUGUCGGAGAGGCAAGUGGAAUUCCUAGUGUAGCGGUGAAAUGCGUAGAUAUUAGGAGGAACACCGGUGGCGAAGGCGGCUUGCUGGACGAUGACUGACGUUGAGGCUCGAAAGCGUGGGGAGCAAACAGG